UACAGAGGUCUCAAGCGUUGUUCGGAUUCAUUGGGCGUAAAGCGCGUGUAGGCGGUUCUGUAAGUCUGCUGUGAAAGUCCAGGGCUCAACCCUGGGAUGCCGGUGGAUACUGCAGGGCUAGAGUACGGAAGAGGCGAGUGGAAUUCCCGGUGUAGCGGUGAAAUGCGCAGAUAUCGGGAGGAACACCUAUUGCGAAGGCAGCUCGCUGGGACGUUACUGACGCUGAGACGCGAAAGCGUGGGGAGCAAACAGG
rnacentral:rRNA from 1 species